GUGGGGAAUAUUGGGCAAUGGGCGAAAGCCUGACCCAGCAACGCCGCGUGAAGGAAGAAGGAUUUCGGAUCGUAAACUUCUAUCCUUGGUGAAGAUAAUGACGGUAGCCAAGAAGGAAGCCCCGGCUAACUACGUGCAAGCAGCCGCGGUAAUACGUAGGGGGCAAGCGUUGUCCGGCAUGAUUGGGCGUAAAGGGCGCGUAGGAGGCCUGGUAAGUCUGGAGUGAAAGUCCUGCUUUUAAGGUGGGAAUUGCUUUCGAUACUGUCGGGCUUGAGUGCAGGAGAGGUAAGUGGAAUUCCCGGUGUAGCGGUGAAAUGCGUAGAGAUCGGGAGGAACACCAGUGGCGAAGGCGACUUACUGGACUGUAACUGACGCUGAGGCGCGAAAGUGUGGGGAGCAAACAGGAUUAGAAACCCGGGAAGUCC
rnacentral:rRNA from 1 species